rnacentral:tRNA from 1 species
AGGCCUGUAGUUCAGUUGGUUAGAACUCUCCGCUCAUAACGGAGCUGUCGCGGGUUCGAGUCCUGCCGGGCCUACCA